rnacentral:rRNA from 1 species
AUUGAACGCUGGCGGCAGGCCUAACACAUGCAAGUCGAACGGUAGCACGGAGAGCUUGCUCUCGGGUGACGAGUGGCGGACGGGUGAGUAACGUCUGGGAAACUGCCCGAUGGAGGGGGAUAACUACCGGAAACGGUAGCUAAUACCGCAUAACGUCGCAAGACCAAAGUGGGGGACCUUCGGGCCUCACACCAUCGGAUGUGCCCAGAUGGGAUUAGCUAGUAGGUGGGGUAAUGGCUCACCUAGGCGACGAUCCCUAGCUGGUCUGAGAGGAUGACCAGCCACACUGGAACUGAGACACGGUCCAGACUCCUACGGGAGGCAGCAGUGGGGAAUAUUGCACAAUGGGCGCAAGCCUGAUGCAGCCAUGCCGCGUGUAUGAAGAAGGCCUUCGGGUUGUAAAGUACUUUCAGCGGGGAGGAAGGCGGUGAAGUUAAUAGCUUCACCGAUUGACGUUACCCGCAGAAGAAGCACCGGCUAACUCCGUGCCAGCAGCCGCAGUAA